UAGGGAAUCUUCGGCAAUGGGGGCAACCCUGACCGAGCAACGCCGCGUGAGUGAAGAAGGUUUUCGGAUCGUAAAGCUCUGUUGUAAGAGAAGAACGUGUGUGAGAGUGGAAAGUUCACACAGUGACGGUAACUUACCAGAAAGGGACGGCUAACUACGUGCCAGCAGCCGCGGUAAUACGUAGGUCCCGAGCGUUGUCCGGAUUUAUUGGGCGUAAAGCGAGCGCAGGCGGUUUAAUAAGUCUGAAGUUAAAGGCAGUGGCUUAACCAUUGUUCGCUUUGGAAACUGUUAAACUUGAGUGCAGAAGGGGAGAGUGGAAUUCCAUGUGUAGCGGUGAAAUGCGUAGAUAUAUGGAGGAACACCGGUGGCGAAAGCGGCUCUCUGGUCUGUAACCGACGCUGAGGCUCGAAAGCGUGGGGAGCAAACAGG
rnacentral:rRNA from 1 species